AAACCUUGCAGACCAAAAUCAUCUGAGUGAUGAAGCCCUAAUUUUGACCGCCUUUCUUUGAUGUUGAGCAGUGGGUUCUUAUUUAAAAAAAAAAAAAAAAAAGGAGUGAGUGAGAGAGAGGGAGAGGGGGAGAGAGAGGGAGAGAGAGAGAGGAGAAGACAGUGCUAGGAGCAGAUGACUUUUCAUCUCCACUUCACCUUGCCACUGGGUCUGUGAGAGAUUGGUUCAUUGUCAAGGAGAUUUUUUUUUUUUUACCCAUGAUUCCAUAUGGUAUGGACCGGGCUACAUGUUGCCCAACAUGCCAGUGCAAAUGUUUUCUCAAUUAGGUGUCUUAUCUCCCGUGAGUUAGCAUCAGAUGAAGCUUGCUGACAGCAUAAUGGCAGGGAAAACCUCCGACGGCUCCAUCAAAUGGCAGCUCUGCUACGACAUCUCGGCCAGAACUUGGUGGAUGAUUUCUACUUCUGGAAGAUAACCUACCCCCAUCUAUGGAAAGAAAAGAGGAAGACCAAUUUAUGUUCACAGAUUGAGAAAUGUCACCUUCACAUCAUACCACCACAUCCUGGAUCUAUCAGUUAUGUUAAAGAUAUAGAAGUUCCUCAGAUUACAUACUUCCCAGCAAAUCAUUUCAGCUCAUGUUUCAUUUUAAGCUGCUGAGUCGAUCAGUGGAACAAUUUCCUGCUUGAAGUUGAUUACCAGCAUCACUGCAAGCCCAGAAGGCCACAUCCGCCACAGGAUCGAUCUCUGUCUACGUCCCUGAGACUAUCUACCUGUCCAGGCUUUGCCAUCACUGACAAUGUCAGCGUCCCCCAAACUUUUGGCAUUUGAGUUAUCAAUUUAUAAUGCUGCUCCGUGUGUUUUUUGCUUAGGCUUGUUACUGAAUUAUCAGUGUCUCUUGUAUGGACAAGUUGUAGUAGUUAUGGUGCAGAUACAUAGAUUGAGAUACCACCAGUAACAUUCUUUAGUUACAUGCCACCGAUGAAUAAAAUGCAUACAUUUCAUAGAGGGUCA
rnacentral:lncRNA from 1 species